rnacentral:rRNA from 1 species
UGGGCGCAAGCCUGAUCCAGCCAUGCCGCGUGAGUGAUGAAAGCCUUAGGGUUGUAAAGCUCUUUCACCGGAGAAGAUAAUGACGGUAUCCGGAGAAGAAGCCCCGGCUAACUUCGUGCCAGCAGCCGCGGUAAU